UACAGAGGGUGCGAGCGUUAAUCGGAAUUACUGGGCGUAAAGCGUGCGUAGACGGUAGCGUAAGUCAGAUGUGAAAGCCCCGGGCUCAACCUGGGAAUUGCAUUUGAGACUGCUCUGCUCGGGUGCGGAAGAGGGAAGCGGAAUUUCCGGUGUAGCGGUGAAAUGCGUAGAUAUCGGAAGGAACACCAGUGGCGAAGGCGACUCACUGGACACGUAUUGACGCUGAGGUGCGAAAGCGUGGGGAGCAAACAGG
rnacentral:rRNA from 1 species